AUUGAACGCUGGCGGCAGGCUUAACACAUGCAAGUCGAGCGGGCGAGGUUGCUUCGGUAACUGAGCUAGCGGCGGACGGGUGAGUAAUGCUUAGGAAUCUGCCUAUUAGUGGGGGACAACAUUCCGAAAGGAAUGCUAAUACCGCAUACGUCCUACGGGAGAAAGCAGGGGAUCUUCGGACCUUGCACUAAUAGAUGAGCCUAAGUCAGAUUAGCUAGUUGGUGGGGUAAAGGCCUACCAAGGCGACGAUCUGUAGCGGGUCUGAGAGGAUGACCCGCCACACUGGGACUGAGACACGGCCCAGACUCCUACGGGAGGCAGCAGUGGGGAAUAUUGGACAAUGGGCGGAAGCCUGAUCCAGCCAUGCCGCGUGUGUGAAGAAGGCCUUUUGGUUGUAAAGCACUUUAAGCGAGGAGGAGGCUACUUGGAUUAAUACUCUGAGAUAGUGGACGUUACUCGCAGAAUAAGCACCGGCUAACUCUGUGCCAGCCGCCGCAGUAACAC
rnacentral:rRNA from 1 species